rnacentral:snoRNA from 1 species
UGCGAAAUCUCCGGAAUCGCUGUACCACCCUGAUGAUUCCCUCGAACCCUUGUGUGUCUGAUGGCUGCAGCUGCUCUGC